rnacentral:lncRNA from 11 species
CUUUUCUACAGCAAAACAGACUUUCAGACUGCAGAUGAGAGAGAGAGAGUCAGGAGCAGAGACAAUUUUAACUUAGACAUCCCUAAUUUAUCUCAAGCUUUUUCAAUUUGCCUUCACUGUGUAUGCUCACUGGAACAUCAGAUUGCUGUCCUUUGGAAAACAGAAUGCAACCAGGGAUCUCGAGAGAUGCCACAGCUUGAGAAAUAUUCAAAUGGUGCUCAUUUUCUUCUGGAGUACUGAGGAGAAGGAAUAAAACUCUCCAUCAAGUCCCUGCUUUUCCGGCAAUAGAUCAGAGGAUAUUGUCAUUUUCUAAAUGGAUUAUUGUUAUCAGGCAGAUUCUCCCUGAAGGUUAUGACUGCUGGUCAUUGAGAUUUGUGAGCGCAACACUGGGAUGACAUUUCAACUCUUCCACAAUGAACUGAAGACAGCAAAAGCAACAAAGCUCAUAAAGAGCACCAGCUAUGCUGCAUUCUAUCCUGCUAUCGAUACCAAAUAUUACUACAACUCCGAGAAGGUAAUUCUAUGAUUUCAUUACAAUGUUCUCUCCUCUGUUUCAAAUAAAUUAAUCAAGUCACCUUUCUUUC